CUUGUGGCUGGGGGACCUCCAUGGGAAGUCAAAUUCCGAAUCAUAUAAGUUCCGAUAACCGUCUGGAAAGCCACAUGGUUCAAGUUCCAGGGUUCCAGUACGUGGAAGGGGGUCCUCUUUGGGAAGCCCAACUCAAGUGACUCUCAGUGACACAUGUGAUUCCAGGGUUCCAGUCUGUGAACGAGGGACCUCCAAUGGAAACAAAAAAAUUUCCAGUUCAACGUGAAUCCCUGGGUCCUCUUCCAGGUUUCCAGGUAAGUUAUCAUUAGAGAGGAUGAGGAUGGGAAAGUCACACAGCCUCACAUGGC